UACGUAGGGUGCAAGCGUUGUCCGGAAUCAUUGGGCGUAAAGAGCGUGUAGGCGGCCUCGUAAGUCCGCUGUGAAAGUCCAGGGCUCAACCCUGGGAUGCCGGUGGAAACUGUCAAGCUAGAGUCCGGAAGAGGUGAGUGGAACUCCUGGUGUAGCGGUGAAAUGCGCAGAUAUCAGGAAGAACACCAAUGGCGAAGGCAGCUCACUGGGACGGUACUGACGCUGAGACGCGAAAGCGUGGGGAGCAAACAGG
rnacentral:rRNA from 1 species